ACGUCCCUCGUGUGUCCUGGUCUAGCGUCAGGAGUAGUUGUAGUCCUGGCUCGAGGACGAACGCUGGCGGCGUGCUUAACACAUGCAAGUCGAACGGAAAGGACCCUGCUUGCAGGGUACGUCGAGUGGCGAACGGGUGAGUAACACGUGGGUGAUCUGCCCUGCACUUCGGGAUAAGCCUGGGAAACUGGGUCUAAUACCGGAUAGGAGCCAUUUUAGUGUGAUGGUUGGAAAGUUUUUUCGGUGUAGGAUGAGCUCGCGGCCUAUCAGCUUGUUGGUGGGGUAAUGGCCUACCAAGGCGGCGACGGGUAGCCGGCCUGAGAGGGUGGACGGCCACAUUGGGACUGAGAUACGGCCCAGACUCCUACGGGAGGCAGACAGUGGGGAAUAUUGCACAAUGGGCGCAAGCCUGAUGCAGCGACGCCGCGUGGGGGAUGACGGCCUUCGGGUUGUAAACUCCUUUCGCUAGGGACGAAGCUUUUUGUGACGGUACCUAGAUAAGAAGCACCGGCUAACUACGUG
rnacentral:rRNA from 1 species